rnacentral:lncRNA from 1 species
AUGGGCAGAGUUGAAAUUAUUUCAAUCCAUCGAAAGAAGUUUCGAUGAUACUAUAAUACGGAUCACGAUAUAUCUCACUGCUGGACAGAAUAAAACUUAUAGAGUCAUACACAAUAGAGGUACUUGAUUGAUCAGAUGGUUGAUUAGUGAUUAUAAAUCGCUAUUGCAUCUAAUUAUCAAUAUGAUUGAUGAUUGAUCCAAUGCAAAAGUUACAAUAAAGUAAUUCAUCAA